ensembl:lncRNA
CAUUCCCCUGUCAUUGUCUUUGUUUUGAUUAUUGUGUAAAGCAGAGGUCUUCAACGUUUUUCAAGCCAAGGUCCCCCAAACUGAUGGCGAGGUGGAGCAGGGACCCCCUAUUCUACGGAGUUCGGAGUUUGGUCCGCCAUCUUUUAUUUUCAAGCUUCACGCUCUUUAGACGUGAGCAUGAACGCAAUCUGAUUGGCUGGUGCCUGCGCUGUCGUAUUCGCAUGAAAGGAGCAGUGAGUGAACCGGUGCCCAGCUUGAGAGCUGCUGAGGGAAGCUGAAUAUGUGUGUUGUGCACUGACAUAUAGUCUUCUCCAUCAAUUUAUCCGAUCGCUUCAAUAUGUUGGAUUCAUGUUAAUGUGUAUUUAAAGACCAUGAAUACAAUUCUGAUUCUGAUUCUGAAGACAUUUACAUUUGUGGGGGGAAAAAUUGUUUUAAAAAACUGUCUUAUCAACCAAAAAAUUUCGCGACCCCCCUGCAGUACCUUCGCGGACCCCUUGGGCGUCGCGGACCCCCUGUUGAAGACCUCUAGUGUAAAGAAACCCUUGGUGUGACAUUUUGAGCCUGCCUCCUUCCCCCUGCAGUGGCAGUGGCACUAGUUUCCACCAGCAGGUGGCAGUAGCGGGUUAGUAGGCCUGACGGGCGCGUCGGGAAGUACGGAGAGUCGUUCUGAUUCUGAUUGUUGCUGACUGUUAUCAUUGCAGCUGAGCAAAUGUAUAUGUAUGCCUGUAUGUAUUUCGUAGAUGGCCGGCGCUGUGUUGUUGGGGUUUCCCCUGGGUGCUCAUCCUGCUCUGGGACUCUGCCUUCUGCCACUAGACUUGCUUUUACCAGCUCCUUCCUCUCCUGGUCACGCAGCCAACCUAACUUGAACUCGGACAUCGAUGUCUCCAGAGGGGGCAAGAGUGUUGCUACCGCAUCAUAGAACAUACUCCACCUGGUGGUGUAAGGUAUAAGCGGCUUCUUAGCAAUAACGUUGUUGACAAUCUCCGAAACCACCGUUGACCUACUUGCCUUGUACCACAGCCCUGCGCAUUUUGUGGUAGCAUUUCUGUAGAUAGAUUUUGUUUCCGGCUUUGACAUUAGCCACUUAUCGACAUCAGUGCAUGAGAUGAGGUUCAACGUGUGCGAUGCGCAUCUGUGAUGCACCAGGUGAAACCACGUCAUUGACAUCAACUACAUUAUCUAGCACAUCCCCAAUGUUUGUAAAAGUCGCCUCAUCCUCCAAAUGAUCUUCAGUAGCUGACUGGUACAUUUUUUAAACACCUUGACCAAAUUGGAGCCAUUGUCAGUAACAGUUGCUGUCACUUUGAAAGCUGGGCGAUAGGAUUAGUGGAUGUUGUCUAUUUCGGUUGCAAUAAUGUCAUAUGUAUGUUGGCCCUUGAAGUUUUACUUUGUUACUCGUUACUACAACACUGGUUGUAUCAGAUGCAGAGGUCUGCAGACGUUGUUUUUAUGACCCACAUUAAGAACUAAAACCAGAUGAAACUGAUGACUAACUGUCACUCAACUAAUAAACUGUCCGUCCGUCAUCGACAGUCUUCAGCAUCUGGUUUUCAUCAUGAUCAAUCAUGACAGAA